ensembl:lncRNA
CCAACACUGCACACUGUGUUUUCUUGUGGUUUAGAUGCUAUGUAUAAAAAGAGCUCACACCAGAGACCUACAUACGUGACCACAGAGUUCCUGUUGUCGGCCUUUGGUGAAUCAUAAUGUCCAUCCUGACAGGAAGGUGAACAUCAUCUGCAGUCUUUUUGUCUUCAUUCUUGGCUCUAAUGUCACUAAAGGUUUCAUCCAUGAAGCCGUUCAGGAGAAUCAGCAGGUCAUUCUGAGCUGCCGUUGCUCUGUAAGGGGCAAAGUGACGUGGAGCAGAAAGAGUGCUGGAAGGCGGGUCCCUGUACAUUCAGAGAGCUGCCGUCUCAGACUCGGGGACAGCUGACCGUGAUCCCAUCAGGAUAGACCUAUGUAUCCUUGGAUGUAGCUCCUCCUCAUUCAUUUUAGGAAAUAAGACAUCCUUCAGCAUGAGGCAAAAAAGGGAAAUACACAAGGUGGCAGAGAAGCGCAGCGAGCGAAAUAAAACAGGACGUGGAAACAAAGAAACGAACACGUGCAAAGAAUGGCUGGGGGCGAGUGGGGGAGGGUGUACUUUACUAUUCAGUUGUGAUACCAGAUGUUUUUGUUGCACAUCACACAAUUCAUGUUGUGACUGCUGUUAUCUCCUGGUUCCACGGCCAUUCAAAAACACUUUGAUACCUCAAACUGCUGUUUCUGCCUCCUGACAAACU